AUCCAGCUGUUUAGUCCGAAAUAGGACGAAACGCUAGUCCUGUAU
rnacentral:hammerhead_ribozyme from 1 species